CUCUUCCUCACUAGAUUCCACACUUGGGCUCCUCUCAAGUCUUUUAUGUUUCCCUGAAGCUCUUGAGCUUGAAGCUCUUAAAGCUGCUGCUUUCCCUUUGCUUUUAGAACCAGCAGAAACCGAUUGUGGUCUUUCCCCUGAACCAGAAGCAACUGCCUUGCCAUUGUCUCUCCUUGGUACUUUGGGCAUCAAAACAGGGUUUCCUCUUGCCAUGGUACCUGUUUCAACAAUUUCUCAAACAAACAAUGAGUUUCUAGAGAUAAAAAUCCUUGAAAUUUCCAAAAUGAUUUUUGCUUGGAAUGAAAUCAAUGGAAACAAUUCAAGCAAAAUCACAUUAAGCAUUCCCAAGCAGCACCAAGAGAUUCUCACUUCAAAAUAAUUUUCUAAAAUCCAAAUUUCAGCUCAAGAACAACAAGUUCUAAAGAGAGUCUAAAAUCAGGAUUCAAGAAACAAUUGGGCACAAGUGAGCUCGUUUCUAGCUACCCACGACCUAAACUCCAAGGUUCUAACUCAGUUUCAAGCAGUGCAUUCUCAGUUCCACAAAAAUUUCUUCAAGAAAAAUCAAGAGAACAGCGAUUUAGGGUUUUUGAACCUAAGAAGCAAUUUAAGCAAAAUGUACCUUGGAGCUGGGUUAACUGGUGCAAGAAAUCGAAAUGGGGCAAAGAAAUCUCCAAGAAAAUCGAUUAACAAGCAAGAAAUCAAACUUUUUGAAAGCAACAAU
rnacentral:lncRNA from 1 species